AAAAUUCUACUCACAUCUUUUCUUAUUUUGAGGUGAAGCUAUUAUUAUAAUUUUAAGUGUAAACUUCAAAUACCACUCUUGCAGUUUCACAUUUUUUUCAUUUUAGUAUCAUGUGGUUUAAAGUAUAGAGAAAACUUCAAAAAUCCUCCCGGUGGUUUCGUAGUUUCUCACUUUGCCCCCCUGUGGUUUUAAAUGUAUCAAUUUGCCCCCCUGUGGUUUCGUUUUUAUUUUUUCGGCAGCUUUUUCGUUAAUAUUUCAUUAAAUUAUAUACAAAAAAACUUCAGAUUCCUAUCUAAAUUUAUCAAAUAUUCACUUUAGUACCCUUUAAUUUAACUUUAUCACUGAUUUAAGAAAAAAGAUAAUGAAAUUGAUAAGAAAAAGAGAAAAAAGAAACCAUAGGAGGGCAAAUUGAUACAUUUUAAACCACAGGGGGACAAAGUCAGAAACUACGAAACCACACGGGAGGUUUUUGAAGUUUUUCCUAAAGUAUAUCAAGUUAGUGCCCUGUAGUUUCAUUUUUAUCUUUUCGUCAGCUUUUCUGUUAAUAUUUCGUUAAAUUAUAUACAAAAAAAUUUCAGAUAUCCUAUAUAGGUUUGUCGAAUAUUCACUUUAAUACCCUUCAGCUUUAACUUUGUUACUGAUUUAACGAAAAAAAUUAGUGAAAUCGAAUAUUCACUUUAAACUAUAGGGUAAUAAAGUAAGAAAGUGUGAAACCACAUGAAUGGUAUUUGAAAUAUUUUCCACUUUUAAGCUACAAAUCUCAUCUAUAGAGUCCGGCUGUAAUGCUUUUACCAGCACCAAGCAUUUGGUGCUUGUAAAUUUUUUACUGUUAGAUCUACGCUUUUGAUCAUUUUCACCCGUUAGAUUAUACUAUUCAACCAACCACCCACUCAACUUUAGGGGGCCCACAUAAUUAAUCCUAACCGCACAUCCCUUAAUUUAAGGGUCGAAAACUUACAAGUACCAAUGACUUGAUAUUUUUAAAAGCAUAGGAGCUCAAUUCCUCAUCUAUAAUCAAUAGAAUUUUAUGUUUUUUU
rnacentral:lncRNA from 1 species